AAUUCACAGGACGAGUGAAAUCCUCCCCAUCCAUUGUUGUGAGCAUCAAAGCUCCGCCUGAAAAGGCUCUCUUAACAACAUAUGGACCCUCGUAGUUUGGAGUCCACUUGCCCCUGGAAUCGGGCGCGAAAGACAAGACUUUCUUGAGCACGAGGUCACCUUCUCGGAACACACGUGGCUUGACCUUCUUAUCGAAUGCUUUCUUCAUUUUCUGCUGAUAUAACUGACCAUGACACAUGGCAGUCAAUCGCUUCUCUUCGAUCAAAUUCAACUGGUCAUAACGACUCUGAAUCCAUUCAGCAUCAGUCAACUAGGGAUUUGAGGGUAUACUUUUUUCUUUUUC
rnacentral:lncRNA from 1 species